rnacentral:tRNA from 1 species
AUUUAUAUAGCUUAUUAUUUAGAGCAUAACAUUGAAGCUGUUAAGGAAAUUUUUAUUUAUAAAUA